CAGUUGGCAGAUAAGCCUGGUGCCGGCUGAGAGGCAGUCCUUGGAGACUGGCCACCGCAGUGGUAAGCCCUUCUGGACACACUGGCCACUGCAGACCUGGGAACGACUGGGCAAGUCCCAUUUCUUCAAGGGAGACAGCUCCUAAGCCAUCACAGGUUCCUGCCCUGUUUGAGUUCCUGCCCUGACAUUCUUCAGGACGGACUGUGACGCGGAAAGUGCAAGCUGAAUAAACCCUGUCCUCCCCAUGUUGCUGUGGGUCGUGGUGUUUCAUCACUGCAAUAGGAACUCCAGGCAGCAAAGCUGCUGCCACUAGCUUCACUUUACAGCCAUGGAUGGCGACUUCAAUCUGAAAGUCCUGCUGCUCCUCCAGUCGCUGAUUCCUCUCUUUGACAGCAAGGACGGCACCCGACCUAUCAUCUAUCUGGAGACACAAGCACACAGCGGCCUUCAGAAGAGAGCAAGACUUAGCUUCUCUGACAGAGCACCCCAGGAACAGCCAGCAAGUGAUUGUAAACCAUUUUGUAACUAUUAAGUGUCCCUUUGAUGUUGCAUAGGAAUAAUAAUUUUUUUUCAAGUC